UGGGGAAUAUUGGACAAUGGGCGCAAGCCUGAUCCAGCAAUGCCGCGUGUGUGAAGAAGGCCUUCGGGUUGUAAAGCACUUUUAUCAGGAGCGAAACGCUGUCGGCUAAUACCCGGCGGAACUGACGGUACCUGAGGAAUAAGCACCGGCUAACUUCGUGCCAGCAGCCGCGGUAAUACGAAGGGUGCAAGCGUUAAUCGGAAUUACUGGGCGUAAAGCGUGCGUAGGCGGUUUCUUAAGUCUGCUGUGAAAUCCCCGGGCUCAACCUGGGAAUGGCAGUGGAUACUGGGAGGCUAGAGUGUGUCAGAGGGUGGUGGAAUUCCCGGUGUAGCGGUGAAAUGCGUAGAGAUCGGGAGGAACAUCAGUGGCGAAGGCGGCCACCUGGGACAACACUGACGCUGAGGCACGAAAGCGUGGGGAGCAAACAGGAUUAGAUACCCUGGUAGUCCACGCCCUAAACGAUGCGAACUGGAUGUUGGUCUCAACUCGGAGAUCAGUGUCGAAGCUAACGCGUUAAGUUCGCCGCCUGGGGAGCACGGUCGCAAGACUGAAACUCAAAGGAAUUGACGGGGUCAUAGCUGUUUCCUG
rnacentral:rRNA from 1 species